ACUUACUUAUCACAUUUCUCGUGCCACGGCGACAUGGGUAUCUGGAGGCCCGAGACGAGGGGUAUGGGAAAGGCCGUGGCAAGUGCAAUAAACCAAACCCCGCUGAUGAUCAGGGUGGCAUAGCUGCAAGAGAGAGGAAGAGGCAAUAUUUGAUCAUUUGUUUUCCGCUCCUUUUGACUCCUGAAUAAUGCUCUCGUAAAUUCUUAAAUUUAUUCCGCACCAACGUGGCGUAUGAGUGAUGCUGGGCGUUUAACGGAGCAUGAUAAGAGGGCAUUAAGCUGCCGUACGGUUUGUUUUGGCCUAAAGACCGCUGUGCGGUAGCUGCGUGCGCAAGCCACGAGGGAUGACUUUCGCCGCCCAGAAACACACUCAAAGGCAGUCACGCACACGCCAGCCCUGACGUCAGAUUUCAACAGUGAAAAAAAUCAAUAUAAAUUUGUACAGUAGACUUAAUAAUAUUGUUGUU